rnacentral:rRNA from 1 species
AGAGUACGUGAAACCGUUCAGGGGUAAACCUGAGAAACCCGAAAGGUCGAAAGGGGAGAUUCAGCGUGUCUCGAUUGCGGCGCUGGACGGUCGUGCGACGGAAGACGUACGCGUCAUCCGCACCUUCCGUUCUCCGAACCGUAGUCGAACGCGUGCACUUCUCCCCCUGUAGGACGUCGCGAUCCGUUGGGUGUCGGCCUAAGGCCCGCAAUGGAGCCCGUUCGGACGGUUUUCCGUUCCGGACGAACUUGCGGUGUUUCCCGGUCGGCUCGCUCGACGGUAUACAGAUGGCGCGGGGCCGCUACACAUCAGUUAGCGUCCGACCGGCGGCAAGCGCGCUCGUCGUGACGGUGAUCGGACCUGGUGCCGGUCCUGUCCCCGAGUGGCUGUUCGCUGCCGUGUUCUCGGACAGACCUCGUCGAAACGCCGAUCUGCGACGCUAUAGCUUUGGGUACUUUCAGGACCCGUCUUG